GGGAUAAUCCAUGGAAACGUGGACUAAUACCGCAUAUUGAAUAUUUACCGCAUGGCAGAUAUUUGAAAGAUUUAUCGCUUAUGGAUGGACUCGCGUCAGAUUAGCUAGUUGGUGAGGUAAAGGCUCACCAAGGCGACGAUCUGUAGCCGAACUGAGAGGUUGAUCGGCCGCAUUGGGACUGAGACACGGCCCAGACUCCUACGGGAGGCAGCAGUGGGGAAUAUUGCGCAAUGGGGGGAACCCUGACGCAGCAACGCCGCGUGCAGGAAGAAGGUCUUCGGAUUGUAAACUGUUGUCGCAAGGGAAGAAGACAGUGACGGUACCUUGUGAGAAAGUCACGGCUAACUACGUGCCAGCAGCCGCGGUAAUACGUAGGUGACAAGCGUUGUCCGGAUUUACUGGGUGUAAAGGGCGCGUAGGCGGACUGUCAAGUCAGUCGUGAAAUACCGGGGCUCAACCCCGGGGCUGCGAUUGAAACUGACAGCCUUGAGUAUCGGAGAGGAAAGCGGAAUUCCUAGUGUAGCGGUGAAAUGCGUAGAUAUUAGGAGGAACACCAGUGGCGAAGGCGGCUUUCUGGACGACAACUGACGCUGAGGCGCGAAAGUGUGGGGAGCAAACAGGAUUAGAUACCCUGGUAGUCCACACCGUAAACGAUGGAUAAUAGGUGUAGG
rnacentral:rRNA from 1 species